rnacentral:rRNA from 1 species
UACGUAGGGGGCAAGCGUUGUCCGGAUUUAUUGGGCGUAAAGAGCGUGUAGGCGGCCAGACAGGUCCGUUGUGAAAACUCGAGGCUCAACCUCGAGACGCCGAUGGAAACCGUCUGGCUAGAGUUCGGGAGAGGUGAGUGGAACUGCGAGUGUAGAGGUGAAAUUCGUAGAUAUUCGCAAGAACACCAGUGGCGAAGGCGGCUCACUGGCCCGAUACUGACGCUGAGGCACGAAAGCGUGGGAGCAACAGG